AAAUUGAAGAGUUUGAUCAUGGCUCAGAUUGAACGCUGGCGGCAGGCCUAACACAUGCAAGUCGAACGGUAACAGGAAGCAGCUUGCUGCUUUGCUGACGAGUGGCGGACGGGUGAGUAAUGUCUGGGAAACUGCCUGAUGGAGGGGGAUAACUACUGGAAACGGUGGCUAAUACCGCAUAACGUCGCAAGACCAAAGAGGGGGACCUUCGGGCCUCUUGCCAUCAGAUGUGCCCAGAUGGGAUUAGCUGGUAGGUGGGGUAACGGCUCACCUAGGCGACGAUCCCUAGCUGGUCUGAGAGGAUGACCAGCCACACUGGAACUGAGACACGGUCCAGACUCCUACGGGAGGCAGCAGUGGGGAAUAUUGCACAAUGGGCGCAAGCCUGAUGCAGCCAUGCCGCGUGUAUGAAGAAGGCCUUCGGGUUGUAAAGUA
rnacentral:rRNA from 1 species